AAUAUUGCACAAUGGGCGCAAGCCUGAUGCAGCGACGCCGCGUGGGGGAUGACGGCCUUCGGGUUGUAAACUCCUUUCGCUAGGGACGAAGCUUUUUGUGACGGUACCUAGAUAAGAAGCACCGGCUAACUACGUGCCAGCAGCCGCGGUAAUACGUAGGGUGCGAGCGUUGUCCGGAAUUACUGGGCGUAAAGGGCUCGUAGGUGGUUUGUCGCGUCGUCUGUGAAAUUCCGGGGUUUAACUCCGGGCGUGCAGGCGAUACGGGCAUAACUUGAGUACUGUAGGGGUAACUGGAAUUCCUGGUGUAGCGGUGAAAUGCGCAGAUAUCAGGAGGAACACCGAUGGCGAAGGCAGGUUACUGGGCAGUUACUGACGCUGAGGAGCGAAAGCAUGGGUAGCGAACAGGAUUAGAUACCCUGGUAGUCCAUGCCGUAAACGGUGGGCGCUAGGUGUGAGGGUCUUUUCACGACUUUCGUGCCGUAGCUAACGCAUUAAGCGCCCCGCCUGGGGAGUACGGCCGCAAGGCUAAAACUCAAAGGAAUUGACGGGGGCCCGCACAAG
rnacentral:rRNA from 1 species